rnacentral:rRNA from 1 species
UACGGAGGGAGCUAGCGUUGUUCGGAAUUACUGGGCGUAAAGCGCACGUAGGCGGCUUUGUAAGUUAGAGGUGAAAGCCCGGGGCUCAACUCCGGAACUGCCUUUAAGACUGCAUCGCUAGAAUCCGGGAGAGGUGAGUGGAAUUCCGAGUGUAGAGGUGAAAUUCGUAGAUAUUAGGAAGAACACCGGUGGCGAAGGCGGCCCACUGGUCCGGUACUGACGCUGAGGUGCGAAAGCGUGGGGGAGCAAACAGG